GACGAACGCUGGCGGCGUGCUUAACACAUGCAAGUCGAGCGGUAAGGCCCUUUCGGGGUACACGAGCGGCGAACGGGUGAGUAACACGUGGGUGACCUGCCCUCAGCUCUGGGAUAAGCCUGGGAAACUGGGUCUAAUACUGGAUAUGACUCCACGGUGCAUGUCGUGGGGUGGAAAGCCUUGUGCGGCUGAGGAUGGGCCCGCGGCCUAUCAGCUUGUUGGUGGGGUGANGGCCUACCAAGGCGACGACGGGUAGCCGGCCUGAGAGGGCGACC
rnacentral:rRNA from 1 species